rnacentral:lncRNA from 1 species
CCAGUUCUCCUGACCCAACAGGAGUGCAUGUUCCCGAUUACCUCCCAGGACCACUGGCCCUCACGGUGGCUGGAAACCCUGGCGGGGAGGCCUGCGCCUCCUCAAGCUCCAGUCCCUCUGGAUGGGUGAUUAGGGAGCGCGCUUUCUCUCCACCACCAAGUUCACCUCUUCUCCCACCCCCUCUAAAAUAAGUGACUUGACGAUAGGUGAUCCCAUCCCCUAGUCCUCUCCUUAAUGCCAGUCUGGAGGCGGACUGUCAAGAAGGGAUGCGUCUCCUCGCCCUUGAGAACCAGCGCGGAGACCUUCUUUUGUGCCUCUCCUUGGCUGUGAACUUUCCCGCGCGCCCAUCCCCCAUACCCGGUUUUCUGCAAGAAGCGGGCUCCGGAGCUCAGAGCCCGAAGUGUAUGCCCUGGUCUUUGAUGAUGUUGAUAAAAUGAGGUUUCAAAUGUUGUCCCGAAGAGGCCGGUAUGUGGAAUGGAAGGACCGUGCCGGGGCACCAAGAGGCACCCUGAGAACUCAGAGGACCCAGAGGCUCCCCUCAAGCAAAUUCCCUGCUGACCCUGGAAACCCCUUGAAGGAGGGGACAAGAGGUUGCCACAAGGCUCAUCUUAUAACUCCCAGCAAGGACUCUCAGCAAACAAGUUCAGCUUGGGAUCUGCCCACCACCAAGCCUGGCUGGGAGGUGGGGGGGAGCGGGGGGCGGUGGAGAGGCAGAGUCCCUGAACAGGGAAAAGACAAUCAGUUGUUCCCCUUUCUGGUGUCAGAGGCAAAGAAGCCUGAAGGGCUGGUGGUGGUGCUGGCUCUGGGUUUAUUGACUCUGUGAUCCUGUCCAGCUGUCCUACAGGGAGUUCCAGAGCUCUCCCAAAGUGCAUGAGGAAGUGCACAAGUAGGACUGGGGCACAAUACCAGAAGCUAUUUGUCUCCUAGAACCUGGCACCCCCUCCACUUACCUUGCAGGAGACCCACAUCACUCAGUUCCCAGGACACCUGGUGGGAGAGUCUGGUGAGAUUCCGAGGCAGACUUCCUCUACUCACAACCUGUUUGAAAAUGGACAUAAAGAGGAGAACAGACACUCCAUCGCCCCUUCAGGGCCUCCUUCGUGUCACAAAACCUAUCCCCUCCUAGGGCACCCUUGACAUUCCCCUAGGUGGGCCUACACAUUGUUCAGAACCUGUCCCCUGUACCAAAAUAAAUAUAAAUGAGUUUGUUUCUUUAAAAGAAAUAUUACAGCUUUAAACUUUUCCCAGCCGGAAUCCACCUAAUUUCAUCAAGAUCUCUUGCUAGCAGCCAUAACCCAGGCCCAAAGGGCUUGUCCCUAGGGAGGCACCAAAGGGAGAAUACCCCAGGCCCAUUUCAUUCCACUGAGGUUUUUGAACCCUUAGGUGUCUAAGGUAAUACCACCACCAUCCCCACCUGUUUUCAGUUCUUUCUUUGUGGCUUAAGAUUGCAUUUUAGGAGGGUUUAUGUAAUGUUGUUCACGUCAGCAAGUCUCCCUGCCCCACCCUCACCCCACUGUCCUAUAUGGAAUUAUAGUUGGAAACCACACACACAUAGAAAAUCUUUGAAGAUUUUUUUCUGCUAUUCUUCCUGACUAGAAGAGUUGACAAGACAUAGACACAUUCAGUUGCAUAAAAUACAGUAGCGUGAUCAGCCUAAAUGCAUCUCAUUUGCACUGUUUGUAACCAGGGGUGGGGGCUUGUGUCACUCAUUGCCUCCCCCUCCUCUGCCCAAACCAGACCCGCCAGCUGGAAUUUCAGAGCAGGCCCCAAGGCAGCAGCCAUUUGGGAAGUGGAAGGCCUAGCCCACCCCAGUCCAGCAGGGGUUGGGGGUGGAUAGAGAAGGUGUCUGGAGGUCUGGCCUGAAGGCUUGGACCAACUUUGGCAGACCUGGGCUCUGGGAGGCUUGGCCGGUGGGUGCCCGCAGCUGGAAGCUGGAGGUCUGCAGCGAUGCUUCUGAGCUUCUCCUGAGUUGAGUUCAAGAAAGGGGACACCAAGAAGUAGGGGAACAGUCACUGACUAUAUUUUACAUCCACGCCUACCCCUUUCCCAGAGUUGUGUUCUCACCACCCACUUUGUCGGCGGAGGAGAAACACUGCUGCCUGAUGGGUUCUUGCACCUGCUCCUAGCCCUGAACUCGGGCCCUGAGCUCCUCACUGCCGCCCGCUCUGCGCUGAGCCCCACUCCUGAGACCGCGAGGUGCCAGAGCAGCGCCUCUCCCACCAACUCCUAGACGCCUGUAGGAGCUGCGCCGGAGCCUUCAGAACCCCGUGGGGGUGUGGGGGUGAAGUUGGAGGUCAUCCGGCUCCGGCUUCUCGAACGCUCUUCUGAUCGCCCAGCGGGGAGACUUCAGGGACUGCCUCGUCAGGCCAGAUUGCAGCCCGCGACCUUCCCGGAUCAACCAAGGGCGAGGCCUGUUGCCCAGCAAGGCUGCCGCCUAACUGAGCCUCCCGGGGAACAGCCAUGACCAAAGCCCCGCGGGCCCAGGCGCGGGCACCUACCCCUACCCGCUCAGGCCUGUGGGAGCGCAGGGGCAGAGGCCGAGACGCUGGACUUCCAGCCCCACACCUCUGACAACCCGGGCACGUCUGCGGAGCCCGGGGGAACAAUCAGCGGGCUCUGCGUCCCGGGAGCUGGGGACACGCCUGCAAGGGCUUUCUGCCUGCACACAGUCAUUUGGAGAAAAUCAAGGGUGUCAGGAUGAUGCAAAUGGAGGUGGAAGCUUCAUUCCCUGGGGGCUUUUAUUCCCCUCCUUGAAGCCCCAGUUCAAGGCCCAGGAACAAAGGGGAAAGGUAACUGAUCUCUCUUUUGGUCUUUCUCUCCCCUCACUUCCACCCCUUCACCUGCAGGCCCUCCUCUUUGAUAAAUAGAGGAAAGCCCGUGGGAUCAGGUACAUAUGUAAAUACUGCUGACCUCGGCCGCCCCUCCUCACCGAAAAGCAGAAAGCCCGUUUCAGGUGCAGGCUGCUCCGUGCCUUUGAGUGUCCACCACUUCUAUUCCCCCAGACUGCUUGGGACUCAAGGCCACUCACUUAAUAUCCGUCUCUUGUUAAAAACAUUCAGGACAACUAUUAAAUAGUUAUUGGAAGAGUUAAAGACCUUCUUUCAGGAGUGAAACGUUUUUAAAGCUGUGCUUGGCCUAAGUCUUUAAGGCGUACAAAGUAGAAUCAGUAGACUUGCCUGAGCGAUUUUGAAAUUUGAAAGAUUUCUCCCCAUGAAAUGGUAAUUUAAAAUAGUUCGUAGAUGUUGUUUUGUUCUAUGAUGGCUUUUUCACCAUUGUCACCUAAAGAUUCUCAAGACCAAGCUACUAAGACAUUUCUUUUCAUUUGGUUAGUUUCUGGGUGAUACUGUGCUUUCUGAUUAGACCUAUUUAAUUUAUUUUUUAACUCUGCAGGAGAGUUUUCAACCUUGGAAAUGUAAGUGAAACACAGACUCACCCUCCUUCUGAGACCUUGAUAGGGGCAGAAAGGAACAAAUCUGGCUAGCCCCCCUCACACCUGGAAGUUUCCCUGUCUAAACCUGGGUACAAUGAGGGUGGUGGGUUUUGUCACCUUUUAUUUUAUUGCUGGCUCAAGGAAAAUUCUUUGAAAUGAACAUCUAUUCUAUUUCAGUGUGCAAUGUUCCAGCCGACUUAAUGGGCUUGCCUUAUGCGGAGAGGCAGUCCUGCAGGACAGAGCUAAUGUGUGGUCUCCCAGGAAGCUCAUCAGAACACCUCUUGUCCCUUUUCUUUAAAAGAAAAAAAAUUUAAAAAGUUUUUGCUUCCAUCUCAAUGUCCAUUCCAUUAUUUUGUAGCUACAAUAAAGAAACAUGGGCAGCAGUGAUCAUUCUUUUUGUCCUAUGUAAUCAUGUCUAGUGUUAGGACCUUACAAAGCCCCAGACAUACCUCAGGUGUAUUCUGCACUUUUCAUAUUUAUUCACUGCUCACUGGGUCACACAGAUAAUUCACACUUGAUUC